rnacentral:lncRNA from 1 species
GAACUCGUUGCUCGCCGGUGACACGGUCGUGGACCGCGUCAGGAGGCGACCGUAGGUCACCGCGGCAUUGCGCAGCCCGAAGAGCCGCCCCCCUGAGGAAGGCCCUCCGGCGCGCGCCUGGCCGCUUGCUGCUGUCCCAGCGGCGGAGCCGGGGAUGGUGGGGCGAGCGGGCAAGACGAGGAGAGGGAUCAUCUCGAUCCCCUCCCCGGUGGCGAGGAAGUCCAAAC